rnacentral:rRNA from 1 species
CCUACGGGAGGCAGCAGUGGGGAAUAUUGGACAAUGGGCGAAAGCCUGAUCCAGCAAUGCCGCGUGAGUGAUGAAGGCCUUAGGGUUGUAAAGCUCUUUUACCAGGGAUGAUAAUGACAGUACCUGGAGAAUAAGCUCCGGCUAACUCCGUGCCAGCAGCCGCGGUAAUACGGAGGGAGCUAGCGUUGUUCGGAAUUACUGGGCGUAAAGCGUACGUAGGCGGUUAUUCAAGUCAGAGGUGAAAGCCUGGAGCUCAACUCCAGAACUGCCUUUGAAACUAGGUAGCUAGAAUCACGGAGAGGUUAGUGGAAUUCCGAGUGUAGAGGUGAAAUUCGUAGAUAUUCGGAAGAACACCAGUGGCGAAGGCGACUAACUGGACGUGUAUUGACGCUGAGGUACGAAAGCGUGGGGAGCAAACAGGAUUAGAUACCCUGGUAGUCCACGCCGUAAACGAUGAUAACUAGCUGUUCGGUCUCUACGAGACUGAGUGGCGCAGCUACGCAUUAAGUUAUUCCGUCCGUCGGGUAGGUACGGUCGCGAAGAAUUAAACUACAAGAAGUUAGACGGCGUGAGACGUGCCGACGGACGACGACGAGGGAGGUAGG